CUGACUGUGAUGAAAUUAAUUGGUCCGUGUUUAUGAAUUUAUAUUGAUUAAAAACCUUCCAAUUACUGAGCAA
ensembl:snoRNA snoRNA:Me28S-A774a